CCUACGGGGGGCUGCAGUGGGGAAUAUUGGACAAUGGGCGAAAGCCUGAUCCAGCCAUGCCGCGUGUGUGAAGAAGGCCUUCGGGUUGUAAAGCACUUUCAGUGGGGAAGAAAGCCUUGGGGCUAAUACCCUCGAGGAAGGACAUCACCCACAGAAGAAGCACCGGCUAACUCCGUGCCAGCAGCCGCGGUAAUACGGAGGGUGCGAGCGUUAAUCGGAAUUACUGGGCGUAAAGCGCGCGUAGGCGGUCUGAUAAGCCGGUUGUGAAAGCCCCGGGCUCAACCUGGGAACGGCAUCCGGAACUGUCAGGCUAGAGUGCAGGAGAGGAAGGUAGAAUUCCCGGUGUAGCGGUGAAAUGCGUAGAGAUCGGGAGGAAUAACAGUGGCGAAGGCGGCCUUCUGGACUGACACUGACGCUGAGGUGCGAAAGCGUGGGUAGCAAACAGGAUUAGAUACCCUAGUAGUC
rnacentral:rRNA from 1 species